GCCGAGGACAAGCUUCUUUGUGAGUGUUGACGAGACAUUGGAUAAGACCCAAAGAAGGGCGCCGAGCAAAAGCAUUCAACCUUUUGGACUCGUAUGCACCGCGAGUUUCAUGAGCACAAGAAGUUUCCACCUUACCAAUUUGUGAGCACGUGCGGGUGGGUCUUCAUUUCCAAGCGGUGGAGGGUGAUCCGACAAGAGUGCAACAAGUUUUGCGCCACCCUUGAGAGUGUCAAGGCCCGCCCCGUGAGCGGCAUCGGCGUGCAAGACAUGGUAUGA
rnacentral:rRNA from 1 species